rnacentral:rRNA from 1 species
ACGCUCGACACCUACGUGAGGCAGCAGUGGGGAAUAUUGCACAAUGGGGGAAACCCUGAUGCAGCGACGCCGCGUGAGUGAAGAAGUAUUUCGGUAUGUAAAGCUCUAUCAGCAGGGAAGAAGAUGACGGUACCUGAGUAAGAAGCCCCGGCUAACUACGUGCAGCAGCCGCGGUAAUCUGAGGCGGGCGUGGCGAAGGC